CCAUUNCCCAAUUCCCCUUGAGUUGAUCAUGGCUCAGGAUGAACGCUAGCGGCAGGCCUAAUACAUGCAAGUCGAACGGCAGCACGGUGUAGCAAUACACUGGUGGCGAGUGGCGCACGGGUGCAUAACACGUAUGUAAUUUGCCCAUAACUGGGGAAUAGCCUUCCGAAAGGAAGAUUAAUACCCCAUAACCCAGCGAAGUGGCAUCACUUUUCUGGUAAAACUCCGGUGGUUAUGGAUAAGCAUGCGUCUGAUUAGCUAGUUGGCAAGGUAACGGCUCACCAAGGCAACGAUCAGUAGGGGGUCUGAGAGGAUGAUCCCCCACACGGGUACUGAGACACGGACCCGACUCCUACGGGAGGCAGCAGUAAGGAAUAUUGGACAAUGGAGGCAACUCUGAUCCAGCCAUGCCGCGUGAAGGAUGAAGGCGCUACGCGUUGUAAACUUCUUUUCUCUUAGAAAAAACAUUUGGUUUCGUACCGAAUCUGAUUGUACAAGAGGAAUAAGCAUCGGCUAACUUCGUGCCAGCAGCCGCGGUAAUACGAAGGAUGCAAGCGUUAUCCGGAUUCACUGGGUUUAAAGGGUGUGCAGGUGGGGUAAUAAGUCAGUGGUGAAAGCCCCCGACUCAAUCGGGGAACUGCCAUAGAUACUGUUAUUCUUGAGUGUGGUUGAGGCAGAUGGAAUAUGACAUGUAGCGGUGAAAUGCUUAGAUAUGUCAUAGAACACCAAUCGCGAAGGCAGUCUGCCA
rnacentral:rRNA from 1 species